AUUGAACGCUGGCGGCAGGCCUAACACAUGCAAGUAGAACGGUAACAGGAAACAGCUUGCUGUUUCGCUGACGAGUGGCGGACGGGUGAGUAAUGUCUGGGAAACUGCCUGAUGGAGGGGGAUAACUACUGGAAACGGUAGCUAAUACCGCAUAACGUCGCAAGACCAAAGAGGGGGACCUUCGGGCCUCUUGCCAUCGGAUGUGCCCAGAUGGGAUUAGCUAGUAGGUGGGGUAACGGCUCACCUAGGCGACGAUCCCUAGCUGGUCUGAGAGGAUGACCAGCCACACUGGAACUGAGACACGGUCCAGACUCCUACGGGAGGCAGCAGUGGGGAAUAUUGCACAAUGGGCGCAAGCCUGAUGCAGCCAUGCCGCGUGUAUGAAGAAGGCCUUCGGGUUGUAAAGUACUUUCAGCGGGGAGGAAGGGAGUAAAGUUAAUACCUUUACUCAUUGACGUUACCCGCAGAAGAAGCACCGGCUAACUCCGU
rnacentral:rRNA from 1 species